UACGGAGGGUGCAAGCGUUAUCCGGAUUCACUGGGUUUAAAGGGUGCGUAGGUGGGCAGGUAAGUCAGUGGUGAAAUCUCCGGGCUUAACCCGGAAACUGCCAUUGAUACUAUUUGUCUUGAAUACUGUGGAGGUCAGCGGAAUAUGUCAUGUAGCGGUGAAAUGCUUAGAUAUGACAUAGAACACCAAUUGCGAAGGCAGCUUACUACACAGCUAUUGACGCUGAGGCACGAAAGCGUGGGGAUCAAACAGG
rnacentral:rRNA from 1 species